rnacentral:rRNA from 1 species
GUGAGGAAUAUUGGUCAAUGGGCGGGAGCCUGAACCAGCCAAGUCGCGUGAAGGAAGAAGGAUCUAUGGUUCGUAAACUUCUUUUGCAGGGGAAUAAAGUACGGUACGUGUACCGUUUUGUAUGUACUCUGCGAAUAAGGAUCGGCUAACUCCGUGCCAGCAGCCGCGGUAAUACGGAGGAUCCAAGCGUUAUCCGGAUUUAUUGGGUUUAAAGGGUGCGUAGGUGGUUUGAUAAGUCAGCGGUGAAAGUUUGCAGCUUAACUGUAAAAAUGCCGUUGAAACUGUCGGACUUGAGUGUAAAUGAGGUAGGCGGAAUGCGUGGUGUAGCGGUGAAAUGCAUAGAUAUCACGCAGAACUACGAUUGCGAAGGCAGCUUACUAAGCUACAACUGACACUGAAGCACGAAAGCGUGGGGAUCAAACAGGAUUAGAUACCCGUGUAGUCC